rnacentral:tRNA from 1 species
GCCCGGAUAGCUCAGUCGGUAGAGCAGGGGAUUGAAAAUCCCCGUGUCCUUGGUUCGAUUCCGAGUACGGGCACCA